AAUCACCACUAGUCGUUUGCCCAUUACAAUUAUGUAUUUAUUUAUUGUCACACUCGUUUUCUCCUGGUUGUGUUAAUUACUUUCUACUUAAACUUUCAAUCCAGUUCACUACUAGAAUUCCCAGACGCAUGGAGUCUUCAUUUGUCAGUGAAGACUCCAUGCGUUUGGGAAUUCUAGUAGUGAAUUGGGAUUCAAAGUUUAAGUAGAAAGUAAUUGACACAACUAGGAAAAAACGAGUGUGAGGAAAAAAGACGUACCUUAGUAUUGUUCAAUGCCUCAAAAACUCAUUUCCUUCAUCUAUCAACUCAACACAACCUUCCGGAUAACUAUGCCCUCUUCUUCAAUGACACUCAACUGUCCCUCUCUUAUACACUGAACACCCUCCGUUUGUCCUUUACUUAUAAUCUAAAGUAGAAACUUCACAUCUUAUCUCUAUCUAAACUUGUUUUAUUUGCUGGUCAGAGGAUUUAUACAGCACAGGUAAAUUUAGCUUGAGAGUGACUCUGUAGUCGUAGCAAGAUGGUGGAGAGUUCAGAAAAUUCAAGAAAAAGCUAAGUCGUUGCGCACAUAAACGCAAAAUCUAGAUUUGGAUUGAAAAUGAGAAUAGAGAAAGUAGGAGGGAACAGAAAAGGGGCUACUGUCAAUUGCCUCAGGCACCUGCGUUUCGGUGAGGAAAAGAAAAUGAGGUUUAGUAGAGGAGAGGUGGUGUUCCACAGAUUGAAAAUUAUAUCUAAGGCCGCGAAUGUUGUAGAAGUUAAUGAAGAAAAAGUUGAAGAGGGUGUAAAAAAACUUAGGGUCGAUACCAAAAAAGCAUUCCGACCUGGGAACAUUUGUGGUCCCCUUCCCCGAUGGGUACUCCUAGGUUGGUGUAGGAGUCACCAUAAUAAGUCUUGAAUUUUGAGUUAAAUGUGUGCGUGUAUUGGUGCACGUAGAGUUGUGUGAAGGUAGAGGGCGGGCCAUGACUGCCCCUUGUUGUGAGACACAAAGGGAAACGUUCAGUGAGGUCACAACUGGGUCACUGUAAAGUUCACAACACCUAUCCAGCAUCAGUCCAGCACCAAUCCAGCACCAAUCCAGUACAAACCGGUCCAGUGGUGAAGACCUCACUGUUAGUAAUCAUUGCUUCGGCAGGUGUUUACCGCCUUCUCCGUAUUAGUUCUUGCCAAAUCUCCGUUUGAUCAGUAGUUAUUGAGAAGUCACAUGUGAGACGCUCCUACAGUUAAUGGAAGUUACCACUGGAUUUCAUUCAGCGGAGGUGAAAAAAAAGGCCCGUGUCACAUGAAACCGAGAGUUGCGUUAUCACGUGGUGAGAUUGGUUGCGAUCGCCGCUCAUGUGUAAGGCUGGCCACCUCAACACAACUUACAUCCAUUACACUUCCUAAUUCCUGUUCCUCUCUUGAUGACAUGCACACAGAACACGCACGUAACUCAAGUCUUUAUAGUUAUGUAGUACAGUACAUAGUAAUUGCAAUGUCCAUUAGGCCUUGAAAUAAUAGUUUCUCUUUUUUUCUUCUCAACAGAACACCGAGGCACGUGUCCACCUGUUCCUCACUGCCCCCCCUACCCAAGGAAAUGUUUCUACGAUCCAGAGUGCGGCCUGAACGAGAAAUGCUGCAACACUCCCUGUGGUGGGAAAAGGUGCAUAUCUAUUCCCUACAGCGGCAAGUAACACCACCACCACCACCACCACCACUGACUAGAGAAAGAACCUCGGUGUAUUGGUAGUUGUUGUUACUUGAGUUUGUCAGAUGAUUGUGAAAUAAAUGGUUUGUUGAAUAUA